UACGUAGGCAGCAAGCGUUGUUCGGAAUUACUGGGCGUAAAGAGUGUGUAGGCGGUGUUCUAAGUCUGUUGUGAAAUCUCCCGGCUUAACUGGGAGGGUGCGGCGGAAACUGGAAUGCUAGAGGAUGGGAGAGGUAAGCGGAAUUCCUGGUGUAGCGGUGAAAUGCGUAGAUAUCAGGAGGAACACCUGUGGCGAAAGCGGCUCACUGGACCAUAACUGACGCUGAUGCACGAAAGCUAGGGGAGCAAACAGG
rnacentral:rRNA from 1 species